rnacentral:lncRNA from 1 species
ACCAAAGGUUAUAUGAUUAAGACCAAUGUGAAAAUAUCUAGGAAAAACAUGGUCUUGUAGGGCUAGGUCUAAACCAUAAUUUAUAGAAAGAUUAAUAGAUUCCCUAGGUGUAGCUAAAAGUGCAUUAUCUUUUUGAUUAAAAGAUAGGACCUCGGCUAUAGAAAAGGGUUGGUUUUGACCUAUUGCAAUCAACUCCGGACACAGAUCAUAAUUAGGGGC